AAAAUCAUAUAUACUUUAUACACGAUGAGCGAUGUCCAAGUUAUAAAAGCGCACGCGCAUGUAACCUCUUUGCAUUUGGUGUCGUUUGUCCCAGGGCUGAGCCAGGGCGCCUGCUGACUCGUGGCCUGCGACCGCCUGGCAUUGAGGAAUGCCGCCGGCAGCAGGCCCGCGACCCGAUGUGCGACCGCCACCGUGGGUCUCCUCACGGCCGGACGAUCACUUCACUGGCACCGCACCGCUGUCGUCGCUCCUCUGCGAGAAACGAUCACGUAGUGCCUAGUUAGAUACUUAGUUAGGACUUUUAUGAACCUGUAACAAUAUUAAGAGGCGCAACCUGACCAAGGACCUGGAAAAUAUCACUAUAAACUAUAUACACUUUCGCGAUAAUAGAUUAAGACAUUAUUAUAAAUGGAGAGAGACUUUUUUUUAAUUACUUGUUAAACUCAAACGUAUUCUGAUGUAAGUUUAAGAAACAUUUAGAUUUAGUUUAAAAUUAAUAUAUUUUAGUUGUGUGC